rnacentral:misc_RNA from 1 species
GGGCAGUUGCUAUUGCACUAGUGCUAGCUGGCAGGCUGAAAGAACUACGGGUUAUAGAUAUUCUUACUGUUUAUUAUGGCAUCGAGAAAUCAUUCAGUAGUUUGGCUCCACAUGUUGUAGUGUGGUUAUUGGAUUCAUACAACACUCAAAUACUUAUCAUGGUAUUUCUGGCUAUAAUUUCUAUGCUACUGGCUGGUUUCCUUGCAUACCACACCAAACUGUGUGUCACAAAUACCACAACAAAUGAGACUUUCAAAUGGAAAGAGUACUUAAGCUGGAAGAGGAAGGUUAAUGAAGCAAAGGCAAGUGCAGCAGCACUCAAAGCAAGUUUGGGUGAAUUGAACCAUGAAAAGAAGCACCCUGUGAGCAAAUGGAAAGCCUUCUUCCAAAGGUCCCCUCUUGAAGAAGUGGAGGUUGUGAAGAAUAACAUUUACGAUAGAGGAGUGCUCCAGAAUGUCUUUGAGAUUGUAGUUCCUCUUUCAUCAAGACGGUCAUUUUUACAGAGGAAACCAAAAUCAGGUUAGAGUUGUCAGUUUGUGAACCAUAAUCUCAUAGGGGCUUGGUAGCUCAUCCUUGGUUCAAUGUCUUUAGUAUAAUAGUCAUAUUAGCAAGGAGCUUAAAUGUGAAGAAUAGUCAUUUUUGCCAAACAUAUCACUGACAAGUAUCGAGGAAGGGGGUUAAGUUCGUGCACCGGUGUUGGUUCUUUUUGCUUUUCUGCAGUUGCAGCUAUUGAAUGGAGGUCCUUACUGCUCUUUUUUUUUGUGCAUUCUACUUCCUACUUGUGGUGCAGCCUAGGUUACCUCAUAUUUCUAGGAUGGUUUUCAAUCUGUAUUCGACUUUUUAUACCUCUGUGCUGCUUAGCAGCAGAUUUAAUUAUGUACAAUGUAAUAGGAUGAGAAUGAGUGUGCUAUACGUUUCAAUCCCAAUGUAUACUGUAUCCACCAGCAGUGAAACUGGAAUGCGGAUUGAGUUCAAACGAAUUUUGUGCUCAUGUUGCCAUUAAGAG